CAGGGUUACCGAUACCCAGCGAGGCCAUUCCAUAUAAUUCUUCGGAAGGACGAAGGCAAGGCUAUAUAUAAACCGACGAAGCAGCUCCAGCCGGAGCCACUUAUCUGCCCAACGCGCUCCUCAACCGCCAUGAAGGUGAAGCAGAGGCGCGCCGAACAGGAGCCGGCACUGGCCGGCACGCUCUCACUGGACUCCGUGCGCGUGGCGGCCGAGAGUGUUGGCAUCUGCGGGCUGCCCGACGACGCGAUCCGUGAGCUGGCGGAAGACACCACCUACCGGCUGCGCCAGGUCGUACAGGAUGCUUGCAAGUUUAAGGCACACGGAAAACGAAAGAAGCUCCUACCGAUCGACUUUGACAAUGCGUUACGGAUGCGAAACAUGGAGCCGCUGUACGGCGUUCAGAGUCUGGAGCACGUGCCGUUCCGGUUCACGUCGGGUGGCGGCCGCGAGCUCAGCUUCCAGGACGAGCGCGACGUGGAGCUGGGGGAACUGGUGUCGGCACAGAUGCCCAAGGCGCCACUGGAGACCACCAUCCGAGUGCACUGGCUCUGCAUAGAUGGCGUGCAGCCGGCGAUCCCGGAGAACCCGCCUCCUGUGGCGCUGGAGCACCAGAAACAGGAGUCCACCAACCCGGCGAGCCGGAUCGGAAAGCCGCCGGCCGCCAGCCCGGCCAGCGCCUUGCCGACUAAAAGCGGCCCCCAGCGCGCCAAGACCAUCGAGACAGUGAGUGUCAAACAGCUGGCGCAGCACGAGCUGUCGGUGGAACUGCAGCUCUACUACAAGGAGAUCACCGAGGCGUGCGUGGGCAGCGACGAGUCACGCAGAGCGGAGGCACUUCAGAGUCUGUCGUCAGAUCCGGGCCUGCAUCAGAUGCUGCCGCGUCUCUGCAACUUCAUCUUUGAGGGUGUGAAGGUGAACGUGGUACAGUACAACCUGGCGCUGCUAAUCUACCUUAUGCGCAUGGUGAAGGCGCUGCUGGACAACCAGACGCUCUACCUGGAGAAAUACCUUCACGAGCUGAUUCCGUCGGUGGCCAGCUGCAUCCUGUCUCGACAGCUGUGCGCCCGGCCCGAGGCCGACAACCACUGGGCACUGAGAGACUUCGCCUCCCGACUGCUAGCGCAGAUCUGCAAAAACUUCAACACGUCCACCAACAACAUGCAGACGCGCGUGACGCGCCUGUUCACCGGCUGUCUGCGCGGCGAGCGGUCAUCGCUGGCGGCCACCUACGGCGCCCUGGCUGGUCUGUCCGAGCUGGGCCCUGAAGUAAUCAAGUCAUUCGUGUUGCCGCAAGUGAAGCCGCUGGGUUCCCGUCUGGAGCGGCUGGCCGAACAGCCGGUCGUCAGCCCUGCCGACAGACUCGCCACCACGCAUCUCAAACAGCUGUUCGCACGUGGCCUGACGCCGCUGCUGAAGCAGCUGCGCUCGUCGCCAGAUGUGGUGGAGCAGUACCAGGCCGAGUACGGCUACCUGGGGCCCAUGCUGUGCGCCGCCGUCUCCAAGGCCCGCUCACAGACGGCGGCGCCCCAGACGGCCGUUUCAGCCAGCCUGGGCGCCUCCAAGGUGGCGGUCGGAGCGGCGGCCGCGGCGGCGGCCAGCGCGCAGGCCGCGCCCCGGCUAGGCACUCCGCAGCGGACCAUUAUAGUGAGCGGCUCUCCGGCGGCUGCCGGCGGCUCUGGCCGGCUGGUGGUGCUGGGCGGACCACGCGCCGCGGCGCCCACUCAGGAUGAGCCGUCCUCGUGAGCUGUGCUGCUGGUGAACACCGUGCGCGCGUACUGCCACACCAUCGCUCGGCGGCGGCGGCCCAGGGCACGUACUGACCGUCCUGGACGGGAAUCACCGCGGCGCCCUGAGUCGUACCACCGCGGCGCCUCUGUCCGUGUAUCAGACGGCAUUGCCCUCGGCAGGCCUGCAAGAACCGCGCGGGAGCCUGGCCGAGCUCCGGAGCGCCGCUGACGCCGGCCGAGACAUGGUGUGGCGCGGCCGCGGCGCCCGUCGGCCACUGGGACGGAGCGCUGUGCCGCCGCCGCCGGCCGCAUGGCGUCGCUCCACUGCAUGGUGCGGCGACAGUCAACUGCGCUCGGCCUUAAGGCGGCACAUGGUUGGCCGCUCAGUGUGUUGGUGUUAACUCGUGGAGCAGUGUGUCCCCCCCCCCCUCCCCCCCCCCCACACACACAUCACCCUGCCGGCGGGCUUCCAUCCGAACCAUGAGCGACUUAUCUGCACCGCCUGCUGCACUUAUUGUUCAUUGUGUGCCGCAUGCGCCUUGUAGCGAAUACAGAUAAGCGUCCGCCA